AAUGGACGUCCCAAAUUAUGUUAGUGUCUAUAUGUUUACUUGGUGGUGGUCUAGCGUGAGUGACACCUGCAUCUGUAACUUACCCAUUGGAUGUUCUUCGAAAUCACCUGACAACACAGAAAACCACUAGGUAUUACAAGGGCAUCUUUCACACGUUGUCUACAAUUUGUAGAGAAGAGAAUAGUAGAGGAUUGUAUAAAGGCCUUUGGUCCACCUUAUUGGGAGUUGGACCUGAUAUAUCAAUCAAUGUUUAUGUAUAUGAAUCCCUGAGGUCUCAUUGGAAAAUGGAAAGUUGAAUGUCAAACUGUGCGACCAAUGAUUUGAUAUGGUUAAUUCCAGUUGGGUGUGUUAACCUACAGUAAUCAAUCAAGUCAACAAAUAUAACAAUGAUACUUUGUCUUCUGAUUUUUGGUGAUGAUUUUUUUGUGAC